UACGUAGGGUGCGAGUGUUGUCCGGAAUUAUUGGGCGUAAAGGGCUCGUAGGCGGUCUGUCACGUCGGGAGUGAAAACUCGGGGCUCAACCCCGAGCCUGCUUCCGAUACGGGCAGACUAGAGGUAUGCAGGGGAGAAUGGAAUUCCUGGUGUAGCGGUGAAAUGCGCAGAUAUCAGGAGGAACACCGGUGGCGAAGGCGGUUCUCUGGGCAUUACCUGACGCUGAGGAGCGAAAGUGUGGGGAGCGAACAGG
rnacentral:rRNA from 1 species